rnacentral:rRNA from 1 species
GACGAACGCUGGCGGCGUGCUUAACACAUGCAAGUCGAACGGAAAGGCCCUGCUUUUGUGGGGUGCUCGAGUGGCGAACGGGUGAGUAACACGUGAGUAACCUGCCCUUGACUUUGGGAUAACUUCAGGAAACUGGGGCUAAUACCGGAUAGGAGCUCCUGCUGCAUGGUGGGGGUUGGAAAGUUUCGGCGGUUGGGGAUGAGCUCGCGGCUUAUCAGCUUGUUGGUGGGGUAGUGGCUUACCAAGGCUUUGACGGGUAGCCGGCCUGAGAGGGUGACCGGCCACAUUGGGACUGAGAUACGGCCCAGACUCCUACGGGAGGCAGCAGUGGGGAAUAUUGCACAAUGGGCGGAAGCCUGAUGCAGCAACGCCGCGUGCGGGAUGACGGCCUUCGGGUUGUAAACCGCUUUCGCCUGUGACGAAGCGUGAGUGACGGUAAUGGGUAAAGAAGCACCGGCUAACUACGUG